rnacentral:rRNA from 1 species
ACAUUAGUUUGUUGGUGAGGUAACGGCUCACCAAGACCACGAUGUCUAGGGGGUCUGAGAGGAUGGUCCCCCACACUGGUACUGAGACACGGACCAGACUCCUACGGGAGGCAGCAGUGAGGAAUAUUGGUCAAUGGGCGAAAGCCUGAACCAGCCAUGCCGCGUGAAGGAUGACAGCGCUACGCGUUGUAAACUUCUUUUGUACGGGAAGAAACACUUCUACUUGUAGAAGCUUGACGGUACCGUACGAAUAAGCAUCGGCUAACUCCGUGCCAGCAGCCGCGGUAAUACGGAGGAUGCAAGCGUUAUCCGGAUUUAUUGGGUUUAGAGGGUACGUAGGCGGGAAAUUAAGUCAGUGGUGAAAAUCCUGCAGCUCAACUGUAGAACUGUCAUGAAUACUGGUUUCCUUGAAUGUAAUUGAGGUAGGCGGAAUGUGUAAUGUAACGGUGAAAUGCUUAGAUAUUACACAGAACACCGAUUGCGAAGGCAGCUUACUAAACUACGAUUGACGCUGAGGUACGAAAGCGUGGGGAGCGAACAGGAUUAGAUACCCUGGUAGUCCACGCUGUAAACGAUGAUCACUCGUUGUUGGCGAUAUACUGUCAGCGACUGAGCGAAAGCAUUAAGUGAUCCACCUGGGGAGUACGACCGCAAGGUUGAAACUCAAAGGAAUUGACGGGGGCCCGCACAAGCGGAGGAACAUGUGGUUUAAUUCGAUGAUACGCGAGGAACCUUACCUGGGCUUAAAUGCAGAACGACGGACCGGGAAACUGGUCUUUCUUCGGACGGACUGCAAGGUGCUGCAUGGCUGUCGUCAGCUCGUGCCGUGAGGUGUCGGGUUAAGUCCCAUAACGAGCGCAACCCUCAUCAUUAGUUGCCAGCGGGUAAUGCCGGGGACUCUAAUGAAACUGCCGGUGUAAACCGAGAGGAAGGUGGGGACGACGUCAAGUCAGCACGGCCCUUAUGUCCAGGGCUACACACGUGUUACAAUGGUCGGUACAAAGGGCAGCUACCUGGCAACAGGAUGCUAAUCUCGAAAACCGAUCUUAGUUCGGAUCGAAGUCUGCAACUCGACUUCGUGAAGCUGGAUUCGCUAGUAAUCGCGCAUCAGCCACGGCGCGGUGUAUACGUUCCCGGGCCUUGUACACACCGCCC